UAGCUCAGUAGGUAGAGCGGGUGGACAGAGCAGGUCGUCCAAUAAUCGGGGGUUCGAUCCCCUUGAUCCCCA